rnacentral:tRNA from 1 species
UCGGGUGUAGCAUAAUGGCAAUGCAACAGGUUUUGAUCCUGUCGAUUGGAGGUUCGAAUCCUUCCACCCGAG